rnacentral:lncRNA from 1 species
CGCUUACUUAACUAAAUUAUAAAAGUUCCUUCUAACAAUUCCAUCCCUUGAAGUUUAUCCAGAAACCUACCUACCUUUUUGCUCUUUGGAAAGCUGUUCAGCUUGGUCCCAAAUUUCGGUGGCAUAGAGGAAGUUGGAUGUGACCUGAACAUAGCUGGCUGCCAUCUGGUGGAUCUUCUGUGGAAUGGUCACUGAAGAACCACUUGCAGAAGCACUACUGGCCCCAGAUGAAUAAUUUCCUGAAUUGCCUGGUGACAGCUUUGGAGAAACAGGGGAAGGCAUCCCCACAGCUUUGCUACACAACAGAAAUAGGAAGCUUGUUCAUAUGGACAUGUGAUAUCAGCAGUAGUAAGAUUCUUCUACUGGAAGGCAGAUCAUUCACAUCCCUCAUGGGAGUCAUGGAGUUAAGCUAAAGGAGCCGUACUUGGACUAGUGGGUACUUUUCAAAUUGAAACCUGAAUAUUCUGCAGAUCAUACGUAAGUAUAUAUCCUUCUGAUCAAUGAUAGAUUUUUUUUUUUUUUGAGACGGAGUCUCGCUCUGUUGCCCAGGCGGGAGUACAGUGGCACAAUCUCGGCUCACUGCAACCUCUGCCUCCCAGGUUCAAGCAGUUCUCCUGCCUCAGCCUCCUGAAUAGCUGCGAUUACAGGUGUGUACCACCACGCCCAGCUAAUUUUUGUAUUUUUAGUACAGACAGGGUUUCUCCAUGUUGGUCAGGCUGGUCUCAAACUCCUGACCUCGUGAUCUGCCUGCCUGGGCCUCCAAAAGAGCUGGGAUUACAAGCGUGAGCCACCGCGCCCGGCCAAUGAUAGAAAUGAAAAUGAGUUUCUUAUAUGCUGACUGGAAUCAUUUCUUAAAUACAGAUACAAAAAAUCAUAUUAUCUCACCUGUCAUCAAAGACAAGCUUUGUUCUCCGAGGCUUAGAAGAAUCAAGAGUUGGUGCAGAUGGAGGACAGUUAGAGGAGCUACUUGGAGCCUUUUCCUGACCAAAAAAAUAUAUAACUACAAUGAAAACCGUUUUAAAUGGACAUCACCAAGGACCCUGAGAGGGCCUGUGGAAGGUACCCCACCGCCUCUGUCUCACCUCGGGAGAUGCACUCUGGGAUGGCUCAUUUGCCUCACUGUCACUGGAACUACUUUCACUCUCUGAGUCAGAUCCAGAGCUGCUUUCAGAUCCACUGUGGCUACUAGAAUCAUCCCUGGAGUUAUCUGCUCCUUCACUAUUAUGGUGUGAAGGUUCAGAGUUACUAAAAGAGAUGAAAUAUACAAAUGUCCAAAGUUUAUUUUACAUUGACAACAGGAAAACAUCCAAAUCGACAACCAACUUUCUUUUUUUCUUCUUGUCUUUUUUUUUUUUAGACGGAGUCUUGCUCUGUGGCCCAGGCUGGAAUGCAGUGGCACGAUCUCAGCUCACUGCAACCUCCGCCUUCCAGGUUCAAGCAAUUCUCCUGUCUCAGCCUCCCAAGUAGCUGGGACUACAGGCGUCCACCACCACGCCCGGCUAAUUUCUGUACUUUUAGUAGAGACGGGGUUUCACCAUAUUGGUCAGGUGGGUCUCAAACUCCUGGCCUCAGGUGAUCCACCCGCCUCGGCCUCCCAAAGUGCUGGGAUUACAGGCGUGAGCCACCGCGCCCGGCUGCAACUUUCUUUAAAAUGUUUACUAUGUGUUAGACUGCUAUAAUUCUAUGAAUCCAGAGCUUCACUGUAAAUGAAAUGAGUAAUUCUUUUUAAAGUUUCUGAUGUGCUACUUAGCUAUUAAUACUCACCUUUUAAAAACAGUUUGAGGUAUAAUACACAAAACACCCACUUUAAGUGUAUAAUUCAAUGACUUAAUUUACAGAAUUGUACAACCAUUAUCAAAAUUAAUAUUUACUUAUAAGGCCACUUAUUAUAUCCCUGCAAUGUUAUCAGGCUGACCCAACUC